rnacentral:lncRNA from 1 species
ACACAUAUAGUUUAACUAUUAAUAAACACUACAUUUAAAAGGGAACCAUAACAUAUAUUUACAUGAUGAUCCCACAUUACAUAAAGUGUCUAUACAUGCCAUAAAAUUUCGGAACACUAGUAGUAAAAUACCCCAAAUGUGAAGGAUAGUGUAGAUGAUUGUCUGACUUCGUUCCAAUUUCCGAGUUGUUGGAAGUCACUAUAACCAAGAGAAAAAUAAAAUCGAGUAAGCAUAUAGCUUAGUAAGUAAACACAUGAUAAAUAAGUAAUUACUCCCAUAACUACACCAAAAUAUAAACUUAUUCAUGAAUAACUUUAUUGUUUAGGCAAUUUCCAGCAAGUUGUUUUUCUGCGUCAUAGUCGCUAAUUUAUUUUUAUCUGGAGCUACAGGGCUCCAAAUUGAGUUUCGUAAAUUUUCCCUGAAACUAGACUCAUAUACCAUUUCACCAUAAAAAUUUCAGAAUUUUUAACCCAGCCAAUUAGUACAGUUUAUUCAUUAAACCUUCCCCUGUUUCACUGCCCAACGGUUCUGACCCUUCCUCACUAAAAUUUACUUAACUCUCUGUACAAAAUUUGAAAAAUGGUUUUUCUUGUUUAUAAUAAAAAUAGACUCAAUAAGGAUUCCAGGGAUAUAAAUUUCAUGCCACAAUUAUUUUUUUACAAUUUUUGGUAAUUUUCCAAAAUUAGAACAGGGGAUCUCGAAAUCAAUCCAGCCCUGUUUCAGUAAAAUUCAGAUAUCUCCAAAAAUACAACUCUUUUGCUUAUUCUAUUUCUUUCAUAUGAAAAUAGACACAUUCAGCUUCAAUUUCAUAUAUUAUUCAACUUCCCAUUCAUUUUCCACCAUUUAUGGUGAUUUUUCAAAGUUACCCAACUGCUGUUGUUCAACACAGUUUAUAAUUAAAUCGUUCCUUUUGCGUUUUUGAUAUUUUCUCCCAUCUCAUACAUGGGUCGAUUUAGUAUUCAACUCAAUAUUUACCCCAUAAAAUUUUCCACCAUAUGGAAAUAUUCAUCUUCCACACUUUUUCGUUGAACACUUGGAAUGUUAACCGUUAUUGGUGGAUCUCGCACUUAGCACCACCGCUGAAUCGGGGAAUCAGCACUUAGCAACCCCUCGGGGGAAUCAGCACAUAGCAACCCCCUUUCACAUUUCAAAGAUAUGGUGGAUAUCGCACUUAGCACCACCAAUGAACCGGGGAAUCAGCACUUAGCAACCCCUCGGGGGAAUCAGCACAUAGCAACCCCCUUUUCACAUUUCAAAGAUAUGGUGGAUCACGCACAUAGCACCACCAAUGAAUCGAGGAAUCAGCACACAGCAACCCCUUUAUAUACAACAUACUCCGGCUUAUUCCGAGUGUUCAACCCAUAAACCAUAUAUUGCAACCCUUUACCACCUUUCCCGAUUUAACAACAUUUUUAGGAUAUGGCCAAACAUUUAUUUUAAUUCCAAAUAAAUCUCAACAUAUAUCAAAUAAUAUCAAAAUAAUACAUUAAGUCACGUGUUUACUUACCUCGGUGCAAAAUAUCGUAAUUUUGCACUUUACUCCCCUAUCUUUUCUUUUCCCCGUUUGAUAUACUCUUCACGUCUUUCUUGAUCUAUAAUAGCAAAUUUAACUCAUUUAAUGUUCACACUCAUUAAAAUAAUCCACCACCCAACUUUUUGAAAAAUUACAAUUUUGCCCCCAAACUUUUGCGUAAUUACACUUUUGUCCCCAAGCUCGGAAAUUAAACUUCAUCACUUAUUCUUAAGUUUUAUAACAUGCUGAACAUUUUUCCCUUCUAUGGAAACAUCAAAUUCCCACUCCAACACAUACUUUUGAAUAUUAAUUAUUUUUACCGAUUAUGUCUAUUUACCCGUUUUCGCUUAAAAUUGCUUAGCAAAAGUUGUUUAACAUAAUUUAUAGCUUCAUAUUCCACCAUAAAACAGCAAAAUAAACACAUUUCACCUAUGGGUAUUUUUCCAAAUAUGAGCCCUAACACGAAUUAUUGCUAGAAUAAGCUAAACCGAGUUACGAGGAUUCCAAAAAUGCGAAGAACAUUAAAAACGGGGCUAGGAUGCACUUACUAUGAGCUUGAGAAAGCAAAGAAACCUUAGCUAUGACUUCCUUCAAAUUUCGGCAGCAACUAAUGAGGAAGAUGAUGAUUUUUGUCAUCUUUUUCCCAU